rnacentral:tRNA from 1 species
GUAAAUAUAGUUUAUCUAAAACCCUAGACUGUGAAUCUAGCAAAAGAAGCUUAUAUCUUCUUAUUUACC